rnacentral:rRNA from 1 species
UAGAGUUUGAUCAUGGCUCAGGAUGAACGCUAGCGGCAGGCUUAACACAUGCAAGUCGAGGGGCAUCGGGAGGAAAGCUUGCUUUCCUUGCCGGCGACCGGCGCACGGGUGAGUAACACGUAUGCAACCUGCCCUCUUCAGGGGGACAACCUUCCGAAAGGGAGGCUAAUCCCGCGUAUAUCGGUUUCGGGCAUCCGAGAUCGAGGAAAGAUUCAUCGGAAGAGGAUGGGCAUGCGGCGCAUUAGCUUGACGGCGGGGUAACGGCCCACCGUGGCGACGAUGCGUAGGGGUUCUGAGAGGAAGGUCCCCCACACUGGUACUGAGACACGGACCAGACUCCUACGGGAGGCAGCAGUGAGGAAUAUUGGUCAAUGGGAGAGAUCCUGAACCAGCCAAGCCGCGUGAGGGAAGACGGCCCUAUGGGUUGUAAACCUCUUUUGUCGGAGAACAAAACCCGGGACGUGUCCCGGACUGCGUGUAUCCGAAGAAAAAGCAUCGGCUAACUCCGUGCCAGCAGCCGCGGUAAUACGGAGGAUGCGAGCGUUAUCCGGAUUUAUUGGGUUUAAAGGGUGCGUAGGCGGUCCGUUAAGUCAGCGGUAAAAUUGCGGGGCUCAACCCCGUCGAGCCGUUGAAACUGGCAGACUUGAGUUGGCGAGAAGUACGCGGAAUGCGCGGUGUAGCGGUGAAAUGCAUAGAUAUCGCGCAGAACUCCGAUUGCGAAGGCAGCGUACCGGCGCCAGACUGACGCUGAGGCACGAAAGCGUGGGGAUCGAACAGGAUUAGAUACCCUGGUAG